UGAGAACUUGAACUCCUGGGCUCAAGCAAUCCACCCACCUCAGCCUCCCAAGGUACUGGGUUAACAGGAGUGAGCCACCACACCUGGCCUAUAAUCUACUUUUUAAACUAAAUAAUACAUUACAUAUAUCUUUCUAAGCUAAUGAACAUACACAUUUUUGGUAGUGAAUAUCUUUAUGUAUUCACCCAGAUCACAAAUGACUCCCUUAACUGUUUUCCCAUCCACUGAAAUAAGCUCAAGCUCUCAUAUUUGUAUUGUGUGACCUUGUCUUCCUGAUCACAGUUUUUUGAAUCAAAUUUACUCUGGGCAAUCAGAUUCUCUUUGCUGGGAAUUUGGAAAUGGGGUUGGUCUCUUGAAAAGAAAAGUAAAAUCAGGAAAAUAGAAUUACUUAAGUAAUCCUUCAAAAUUGGGAUUUUUAUCUUAAAAAGACUGAUGUGAGGUAUUGAAGUAGAUGUUAAAACUUUAAAAUGAUGGUUAUAAAUAAGGGGGGCUGGAUGAAUGAAUGUACAAAGAACAACAACAUCUUAAUUCCUGGAUUCAUAUGUUUUCAAUACUAACCUAAACACCAUAGAAUCACCUAGAGACAACUGUAAUUUCUCUUCUAUUAACCAAAAAACUAUUAAUUUUAAAAGAAUAUUCACAUUAAACAUGGAGCAAUCUGCUUUGUUACGGCUCCACUAUACCUGUGACCUACAUUCUUGUGUAGCAUGCACUAGACUCAUGUUCUCAGCCAGGCUAUGGUGGUCAAUGAUCAUAGUUAGUCUAUCACUGAUACAUGUUUGUCAGCUUGCUCAACCAAACAAACAUCUGUCCCUGUUUGAUCUUAACAUAAAAGUCCAAAGUUAGACUUAUCUCAAAUCCUAGUCAUAGCUAUUAAUGAUUAAGAGAGACAAUGUGAUAGCUCCUAUCUACAAAUAACUAUUUGGAAGGCAGAAGUUUGGAGAGACAUUAACUCUUUCAGGUAAAAAAUAAUAAUAUACUGAAUCAAUCUCUAAAUUAAUUUAGCAGGGAAAAAUAACUCAUAAGCCACAAAUGAAACUGUCUUUGUUACAACUAAAGGAUCUCACAAUAGCAAAGGGAAGACACUAUACUAUUUUAAUGAAACAUCAAUUCCAUUUAAUUCAAUAUACCAGAAAUAAUUUAUGCUUUAAAGAAAAAUGUAAUCAUGGGUCAUAUUUUAACACUGAACAUUCUAGGGAUGGCUAACAGUGCAUGCUUUUAAAACAACUAUAAUAAAAAUAUGAAACAGUAAUUUAUUGAACAUUAAUUGUGACUUGAAAGAGUUAAGGUAACUCCCUUGACAUCUGCCUUAUAACCAUAGCAUUUAUCAGAGUACUCUGGCUGAAAAAAAAUUGUAGAAGCUUCUCCAGAAUUAAAUGUUUAAAGAACAUUAUUUGAAGGAGACAGUAAAAGAAAAGGGAUGUAACAGGUGAAACAAGACUGACCAUGUUUUAAUAAGCUGGCUAAUAGAUUCGGGUGUACAUGUGCAGGUCUGUUACCUGGGAAUACUGCGUGAUACUGAACUUUGGGGUACAAGUGAUCCUGUCACCCAGGUACUGAGCACAGUACCCAACAGGUAGUUUUUCAACCCUCUCCCUCUAGUAGUCCCCAGUG
rnacentral:lncRNA from 1 species